rnacentral:pre_miRNA from 1 species
AGAGGAAUAGCUGGGUUAAAUGGUGGUUCCAUACCCGGCUUUCCAGGGAAUCUCCAUACUGCUUUCCAAAUUGGCUGCACCAAUUUGCAGUUCCAUCAGCAAU